CUUGUAAAGUCCUUCUUAGAGAGACAGAUCCUUUCUAAGGGGAAGAUAUAAUACACGACAGGUAGAACUUGUGUGCAGAGCGCGGUCCAUGCCCAGUGUAUUGAGAAGGUGGGCAGAAAAUCUCCUGGAAAAGCAUGCAUGGGAACCAGCACGAGGUUGCCUUCUAAUUCACGUGUCUCAUCAUUUCACUGAAGAUGUAUGGAACGCUUCCCCCUUUCAAAGUGUUAAGUACUUUGCUGUCAGCAUCACCAUCACAGCCUGCGAACUCGACACUAAAGAGAGAGAAGUGGAAAAGGCAAAUUUUGGAGAAAAUAAGCAGAAGGCAUGGGGACUGGAAGUUGUGAGGUACGAUGAGGCUUUUGCUGAUACAGGAAUGAUGUCCUCACCCACUGGGCCAUAGGAGUGGCCUCCCAGGAUCAAAGAACAUGGGGAGCCAGCACUGCCAGGACGAAGAAAGAGCUUCAUUACUAUGAACUUGCUUGUGGCUGGAGGAAUUGAAGUGGAGACGCUGACUCCCGUGAGCUUGGAGACUGCAGGGAUGACAACCUUAUGUUACAUUGAUGUGUUCUCAUUUUUGUUGAGUAUGACUAUACUUCUGUACAUUUUAUUUCACUCUUUAAACAUUUAUGUUCCUGUGUUAUGAUUAAUUAAGUGUAGUAAAAUGAAGUGUUUGCAAAGUUAAAA
rnacentral:lncRNA from 1 species